UUUUUAGGGGGAGUGUUGGCCCAAGAGACCUAAAGCCCGCUGCUAUACGUGCGGGCGCGUGUGUCGCGGCCGGACAGCCUGGGUGGGCGCGCCGUGUGUGCGGGCGGCCCCGACGGACACGCCAUGUGUCGGCGGUCCGGUUCCAACAAUUGGUAUCAGAGGCCAGGUUGACCCAAUGCAUUCUUAGACAACAUGGCUCACAAUGUGUGAGGGGGAGAUUAUUGGGAAUAGUCCCACAUUGUCUGGUGAGAGUGUGAAAGCAUGGUUUAUAAGGUUGAGGGUGCAACCCCUAUUAGGCUAGCUUUUUAGGGGGAGUGUUGGCCCAAGAGACCUAAAGCCCGCUGCUAUACGUGCGGGCGCGUGUGUCGUGGCCCGACAGCCUGGGUGGGCGCGCCGUGUGUGCGGGCGGCCCCGACGGACACGCCAUGUGUCGGCGGUCCGGUUCCAACAAUUGGUAUAUUGUUGGGAAUAGUCCCACAUUGUCUGGUGAGAGUGUGAAAGCAUGGUUUAUAAGGUUGAGGGUGCAACCCCUAUUAGGCUAGCUUUUUGGGGGGAGUGUUGGCCCAAGAGACCUAAAGCCCGCUGCUAUACGUGCGGGCGCGUGUAUCGCGGCCCGACAACCUGGGUGGGCGCGCCGUGUUUGCGGGCGACCCCGAUGGACACGCCAUGUGUCGGCGGUCCGGUUCCAACAAUUGGUAUCAGAGUCAGGUUGGCCCAGUGCAUUCUCAGACAAAUCUUGGCUCACAAUGUGUGAGGGGGAGAUUGUUGGGAAUAGUCCCAUAUUGUCUGGUGAGAGUGUGAAAGCAUGGUUUAUAAGGUUGAGGGUGCAACCCCUAUUAGGCUAGCUUUUUGGAGGGAGUGUUGGCCCAAGAGACCUAAAGCCCGUUGCUAUACGUGCGAACGCGUGUAUCGCGGCCCGACAACCUGGGUGGGCGCGCCGUGUUUGCGGGCGGCCCCAACGGACACGCCAUGUAUCGGCGGUCCGGUUCCGUCUCUUGGGCCAACACAACACUCCCCCUAAAAAGCUAGCCUGAUAGGGGUUGCACCAUCAACCUUAUAAACCAUGCUUUCACACUCUCACCAGACAAUGUGGGACUAUUCCCAACAAUCUCCCCCUCACACAUUGUGAGCCAACAUUUGUCUGAUAAUGCACUGGGCCAACCUGGCUUUGAUACCAAUUGUUAGAACCGGACCGCCGACACAUGGCAUGUCCGUCGGGGCCGCCCGCACACACGGCGCGCCCACCCAGGCUGUCGGGCCGCGACACACGCGCCCACACGUAUAGCAGCGGGCUUUAGGUCUCUUGGGCCAACACUCCCCCCCA
rnacentral:lncRNA from 1 species